AUGAUGAGAUCAUUAUCGUUGCUGAUAUACAAGCACGAAGAAGGCAAGAUUGAAGAGGUGGCUAGGGAUUUAAACACAAACUGGAUGACUGCAGUUGAGAUGCUGGAUGAUGAUAUUUAUAUUGGUGCAGACAAUUGCUGUAACCUGUUUACCGUGUGCAAGUCCCCAUAUGGGUUCCUUGAGGCCGUUGGGGAGUACCAUCUGGGGGACGUGGUGAAUAGGUUGCAUCACGGUUCUCUGGUUAUGCACCACGCAGAUUCGGGGACAGGCCAGUUUCCUUCAGUCAUCUUUGGCACGGUCAAUGGCGCCAUCGGUGUGAUUGUCUCCCUUCCUUAUGACCUAUAUGCGUUCCUAGAGAAGCUGCAGUCCGUCCUUGUGAAUUUCGUCAAGGGUGUUGGUAACCUUAGCCAUGCACAAUGGCGGUCAUUCUGUAACGCCAGGAGGACCAGUUCUGCCCGGAACUUCGUGGAUGGUGAUCUGAUUGAAUCUUUCUUCAGUCUGAGCCCAAGCCAGAUGGUGGAGGUUGCGUGCGCGAUGGGUGUCCCUCCGGUUGAGCUGUAUAAGAAAGUGCAGGAGUUGACCAAUCUACACUAG
rnacentral:rRNA from 1 species